UUUGAGCGCCGCGCGCGCCUCUCCUAGCUCAGCUCUCCCUGUCCCCUGGUGGCCCGCCCCCUCCGGCUCCCGCCAACUUCAGGGGCCUCGGCCUGGGGCCCCUCGGAUCACGAGAGGCGGAGGCGAGGGAGCGGACAGAAGAGAGCGCGCACGUCCAUGCGGCACUCACCCAUCUUCAAAGCAGCUUCUUUCUCUGCAGAGGAGGGCUACUGCCCACAGCUGGACAGAGUGCCGAGAACAGGGACGCAGGCCCAGAUAAAACAGCUACAACACAAUACCUGCACUUAGAACUCUUGGAACAUUGCAGAAGAGGAGCCAGAAGACCAGAAUAGUGUCUUCUCAACAUGACAGGGAAGCUACACCCAUGAAGUCUCAACAGUGGGAUUGCCUAAGCAAGAUCUGCAUAACGACAACACCCAAGCACAUAAAGUAAAACUAAAGGACCACCACACUGCUCUCGUGUCUCCCUCCUGUGUACGUGCUCCGAGGUAUGACCAACUGCUGGGGCCUUUGCCCCUCUGUAUCUGCCUGCUCCUGCUGCUCCUGGCCCGGAGCUGAAGACAGCUUGCUUCCCAAGACUCCUGCUAGGUCUUUCAGAACUCCACAGACCUCGGACUCCCCGGCUUCUGCUUCCAGGAAUGCCCUCACUCCAAGUUCAGAGAAAACAGAAGUCUUUAGAAGAAACUUCCCUGGCUUCCUGCUUCUACAGUAACACCCUUCCUUCCGCCGAUGGAGCCGUUUUCCUACCUAUCCUGGGCAUCACGGCCGCAGCCCUCUUUCUAUUAGGCUUCUCAAUGCUAAUGAUCCCCUCUCCCCCAAGCCGGACUCUCUUGAGCUUACUAGUCUUUUUAUUCUAAUCAUUUGGGGUGGAUUUGUCCCCAUGCGUGACAGGGUCAGAGGACAGUUUUGGAAGCUAGUGCUUGUCCCUGUACCUUAUAGGCUCUGUGGGUCAGACCCACCAGUCCUCAAGCUGCUUCAAGAGACUUUACCCACUAAGUCAUCUUGUUGGCUUCUGUUGUUUGAGACAAGGCCUCAAUGUAGCCUGAGGCUGGCUGGAAACUCACCACAGAAAUGGUGUUGUGUAGAUCAGGCUGGUUUUGAACUCACAGAUAUCCUUGGAAUCUGCCCCUGGAUUGUUGGGGUUAAAGAAAGGGUGAGCAGCCUUCCUGGCCUCUUGUGUUUCAGGCUGACCUUGACCUCAUCAUGCAGAGGAGGCUCACGUGGAAUUCCUGAUCUUCUUGUCUCGGUCUCCCGAUUGCUGGGAUUACAGGUGUACACUUCUUUUUUGUUGUUGUUGUUUUUGUUUUUUGGUUUCUUUUUUGAGACAAGGUUUCUCUAUAUUGUUUUGGAGGCUGUCUGUAGGCCAGGCUGGCCUGGAACUCACAGAGAUCCGUACAGGCGUACACUUCUGCACCAGGCUGGGUUUUUGGUUUUUGGAACAGUCUUGCUGUGAAGCUCUGGCUGGUCUCAAACUUUCAGAUGUCCUCUGCUUCUUCCUCCAUAGUGCUGAGUCAUCAUGCCCAACUCUCUUUGGUUUUGAUUUUGAGAUAAGCAUCACGUAGCCCAGGCUGGCUCUGAACUCUUGGUCUUCCUGCCUCUUUAAAUGUGCCCCUCUAGACAACUUGCACGUUCAUUUUCCUUCUCUGUCAGCUAAUGGGGUCCAUCUCCUCAUGUUAAUCAACCAUUAAAUACUUUAAUUUUAUGAAA